rnacentral:lncRNA from 1 species
AGUGGUGAUGGUGAGAUAUGUGGUGCAAGUGUUACUUCAGAGGUUUACCAAAAAAAAUAAGUGUUACUUGAGAGUAAAAAAGAGUCGUCGGGUAGACGCAUGAAGUGCAUUACAAUAACCCCACACGUACAAUUUUGUAGAAAAUCAACGUUUGCGAUUAUAUACGACAAAACAAAAAUCAACGUUGUGUGGAUUAUAUGUUGACCGAAAAACACUUGUAUUAUGACUGCUUGUAAGUAUUCUUCGUAGUUUCUUUAAUUUUCUUAUCAAAAUUAAACUUCUUUAAUCUGUAGUGAAAAACCAUAGUUAUCUUGGUACUAAUCUGGUUUAGGUUAACCACGUCCAUUUCUAGUAAUCAUAAU